rnacentral:rRNA from 1 species
AUGACCGUGACGCUGCAGGAUAUUGCUAUGAUCACCGACGGUCUUCCUAUCGAUGGCAAUCCUUUAUGUAUGAACACCGAUACUGAUGGGUGGCGCGCGCAGAUGCAAGCCCUUAUCGGUAUGGUUCCUCCGGAGCCUCGGGAACCAGAAGCAGAAGAUAAGAAGAAGGAAAGAGUCGCAGACAAUGUUUGCUGA